GACGAACGCUGGCGGCGUGCCUAAUACAUGCAAGUAGAACGCACAGUUUAUACCGUAGCUUGCUACACCAUAAACUGUGAGUUGCGAACGGGUGAGUAACGCGUAGGUAACCUGCCUGGUAGCGGGGGAUAACUAUUGGAAACGAUAGCUAAUACCGCAUAAUAUUGAUUAUUGCAUGAUAAUUGAUUGAAAGAUGCUAUUGCAUCACUACCAGAUGGACCUGCGUUGUAUUAGCUAGUAGGUGAGGUAACGGCUCACCUAGGCGACGAUACAUAGCCGACCUGAGAGGGUGAUCGGCCACACUGGGACUGAGACACGGCCCAGAUUCCUACGGGAGGCAGCAGUAGGGAAUCUUCGGCAAUGGACGAAAGUCUGACCGAGCAACGCCGCGUGAGUGAAGAAGGUUUUCGGAUCGUAAAGCUCUGUUGUAAGAGAAGAAAGGGUGUGAGAGUGGAAAGUUCACACUGUGACGGUAUCUUACCAGAAAGGGACGGCUAACUACGUG
rnacentral:rRNA from 1 species